CGAUUUUGACUAUCUUAGAGGCAGAACUGGGUUCUCCUCAAAUCAUAGAACUUGUAGCCUCAUGUCUUAUCUUUCUAAUGACAUAAAUUUCGCUUGAAUCAGAGUUCUAUAACUCCAGAUAUAGUUAAAAAAUCUAAAGAGAGGUCAGACAGUAACAGUUCAGAAACAGACAGUAACAGUUGGACAAUGACAGUCCAAAUAUAAAGAAAGGAAUGAUAACUAGGAUUGGAAAAAGAACGAUAAUAAUAAUGAGUGAAAUGAGAAAAACAUAAAUACUAAGAAAUGACUGAAAGAAAGACUUAUUGGUUGUUGAUAUGGUUAUUAUGAAACAUAUCCUUGAGUGAGGAAAAUUUAUGAGAUAAACCUGUGAUUUGCAGGAGGGACCACAGGCAUGGUGCAACAGCAGCAGAAGGGGAGCAUGAGUAGAGCUUCUAUUGCAGGAACAUCACAUGCACGACAGGAGUAGAUCCUAGCUUAUGUUUCUCUUCUUGUAAUUUAGGUUAUAGGGGGUAUACCCUUAUAUUUUGUAAACAUGAAAAUGUUUGUAUAACUUAAUUUGUGUAAUUAAUGUUUAAACUUGAUUGAAUGAACUUAAUCUCUGUAGUUCAUGUAA